GUAAUAUAUCGGAACGUGCCCAGCCGUGGGGGAUAACGUAGCGAAAGUUACGCUAAUACCGCAUACGAUCUAAGGAUGAAAGCGGGGGAUCGCAAGACCUCGCGCGAUUGGAGCGGCCGAUAUCAGAUUAGGUAGUUGGUGGGGUAAAGGCUCACCAAGCCAACGAUCUGUAGCUGGUCUGAGAGGACGACCAGCCACACUGGAACUGAGACACGGUCCAGACUCCUACGGGAGGCAGCAGUGGGGAAUUUUGGACAAUGGACGCAAGUCUGAUCCAGCCAUUCCGCGUGCAGGAUGAAGGCCCUCGGGUUGUAAACUGCUUUUGUACGGAACGAAAAGGUCUCUAUUAAUACUGGGGGCUCAUGACGGUACCGUAAGAAUAAGCACCGGCUAACUACGUGCCAGCAGCCGCGGUAAUACGUAGGGUGCAAGCGUUAAUCGGAAUUACUGGGCGUAAAGCGUGCGCAGGCGGUUAUGUAAGACAGAGGUGAAAUCCCCGGGCUCAACCUGGGAACUGCCUUUGUGACUGCAUAGCUAGAGUACGGUAGAGGGGGAUGGAAUUCCGCGUGUAGUAGUGAAAUGCGUAGAUAUGCGGAGGAACACCGAUGGCGAAGGCAAUCCCCUGGACCUGUACUGACGCUCAUGCA
rnacentral:rRNA from 1 species